CACCCCCGCGGCUCCCUUUUCUUGUUUUCUUAAACUCAUAUUUUCUCAACACUAAAACACAUUUUCUAUGUUUGUAAAGGAAAACAUCCAUAUUCUUCACAUCGUUUUCUUGAUUACCUACUUGGCGCAUUCUCUUUUCAUUCAAAGAUGCUGAUUAUUAUUUUUCUUCACAGUCAAUAUCAGAAUAUCAAUCACUCGUUUUUUCCCAAUUAACUACUAUAUCUCUAAUCAUCUUUUAUUUUUCCUUUCGGUGAUUUUUAAGGUUAAGAUAAGGUUAAUUGAUAGCGGAAUCUGGCAAAUCGAGUUUCUUGAUUUUUUUAUUUUUUGAAAUGAAACAUCACAAAAUAAGGUUGUUUUGCCUUUGUUCUUCUCUUUGCGUUGUCUGAAAUCUAGAGAUUCUCAUUUGCUGAUGAUGUCACCGUAAUUCUCUUCUUUGUGAAUUUCAGCCAUUGGUAAUGCGCCACAUCAGCAUCGUUGCUCGUGGUUCCGAUUCCAGCGCGCCCAUAAAUUUCAGCCAUCAGUCUCUCCAUUUCACACACACACACACUUGCAUCUUUCUAAAGAAAUGAUUUUUCAGAGUCCCAUUAACGUGUUUGUUCGAAUCUUGGAGAUUUUGUGGUAGAAUUAAUACAGUCGUUGUUUUCUGGUGUAGCAUCAUCAAGAUUCACAUGCAAAAGCAUAUGGUGGCUGCUAAGAUGAUGAUACCAUCUCUCUCUCUCUCUCUUCACCUCAGCUUUGGAUGGUGAGAAUCUUGAUGAUGCUGCAUCGGCAAUAAACGACUAGAAAUGGUCGGUUGAAAAGUCUAUGUGAUGAAAGAGGGAAAAACACUCACGCUUCCCCAGUUUGUAUGGUUUCUGUCUUUGCUUAAUUAUAUUUCCUGGUAUGGCAUCAAUGGAACAUGUAGUUCUCGGUGCAAAAACUUCAAAUUAAAUUAGAGGUGAGAAAAUCUUAGUUUUUGUCAAUUUAUUACAUUCAAAUGUACAUAUGUUAUGAGCAUUUCUUGCAAGAAAUUUGAAAUUAAGAUGGUAAAUUAGAGGUGGAGUUUGCAGCUUGCUUGAAGACAUGUAAUUUAAUCUUCUUCUGCAUCUCUAGCCUUAUCCUCAUCACCUCUUGAUGAAUUUGCCUUCCAUUAGUUCAUCAUCAUUUAUUACAAGAGGCCCCCUUUUUCUUGCACUCAAGAUCCUGUUUUCCAGUUCUUGGUGGGAUUUCCACUUUUUUUUGAUAAAUUAAAUAAGUAAAUAAAGAAAUUUUAAAUUUCGCACGACGGAGGACUCGAAUCGAGAACCUCAAAUUUUGGGUAUUAACGAUCUCUUACCGUUGGCCAACACACGCAGACUUUUUUUUUUUUAUAUAUUCUUAUUCUAACUGUCUGUGGCUGCUACUGCUACUAUAUCUAAUAGCCGGACUUAGCCCCAAACCCAAAUAGGAAAGUUCCUAUAUAUAUCAUUCGUCCCACUUUUAUUAUUUUAUCUUUUUUCAUUGCAAAUUUAUAAAAUUACCAAUAUUUUUUUUGAUUUCCUAGCUAGUUCUGCCACUCAAAUCAUUCUCAUAUAAUCAUGAGUCUUUGGCCUAGUUGAUGUAUUCGUAUAAAUUAAUGCAAGUAUGUUUACAAUGGAAUGUUUAUUGUAUAAUUUCUCCA